rnacentral:rRNA from 1 species
CGGGUGGAGGAAUACAUCGGAAUCUACUCUGUCGGUGGGGGAUAACGUAGGGAAACUUACGCUAAUACCGCAUACGACCUACGGGUGAAAGCAGGGGAUCUUCGGACCUUGCGCGAUUGAAUGAGCCGAUGUCGGAUUAGCUAGUUGGCGGGGUAAAGGCCCACCAAGGCGACGAUCCGUAGCUGGUCUGAGAGGAUGAUCAGCCACACUGGAACUGAGACACGGUCCAGACUCCUACGGGAGGCAGCAGCC